GAUUGGAAGGAAAAUGAGAAAUGAAAAUGUACUCUAUUCUUCCUUAUUAUGCAUGCAACUAUUAAAUUAUGGACUUGGGCCAGCAGCAGUGGCAGUUAUGGAAUUCAACAAUCUAGCUCUUCGAUGGCAUUCAGAAAAUUUGCCAAGAAUUUUGUAAUGGGAAAUCGCUCAGGUUUCUCUCGUUCAUUUUCAUUUCUCAUUUUCCUUCCAAUC
rnacentral:misc_RNA from 1 species